GUCCCCCAAGUUUGAACUUGGAGCAGGAUCAGUUAUCAAUAGAUAUUACUAUGAUAUUGAUUUUCCAAGAGGCCAUAUAGCACUGAAGAGUUUCAAUGCUGAAGUGAUUGAUGAAGCUGGGAACCCUGUGCCUCUCCAUGAAACUUACCUUCACCAUUGGGUUGUUGAAAGAUACCAUCAAAGUAAACAUGUGACACAAAAAGACACAAAAUAUGAUGAUGGGCAUCGAAUGCUUCAAGAGUCUGAUGAUUUUGUCAUUGUGAGGAACAGUGGAAUAUGCCAGAACAAUGCUCUUAGUCAGUAUUAUGGACUUGGUUCUGAAACUAGAGGAACAGCUACAGACAUUCCAGACCCUUUUGGCAUAGAAGUGGGAAACCCUGACGAAAUUCCAGAAGGGUAUGAGGAGAAAUGGAUGCUGAAUGUGCAUGCCAUUGAUACAAGAGGCGUAGAGGAUAAGUUGGGGUGCACUGAGUGCAGGUGUGACCUUUAUAAUGUCACAAAGGAUGAACAUGACAGGCCUUUGAGGCCAGAUUAUGUUGGAGGUUUGUUGUGUUGCUAUGAUUAUUCACAGUGUAAAUUGAGGGAAGGCUUUGAGGUUGAGAGCACAAAGAGAAGCCUCUACCUAAGAUACACAGUGAAAUGGGUUGAGUGGGACAAUUUUGUAGUGCCUGUUAAGAUAUACAUAAUUGAUGUGACUGAUACUUUGAAGAUAUCUGAUGAAUCCAAAGGAAUAACCAGCUCAGAUCAUAAUUGUGUGGUAAGUGAGUUCAUCAAGAAACAAUAUAUUAGUUCCUUGCUUUAUUGGGUGUAAUUGAGCACUAGAGAUUUAUUUGUUAAUUGUUACAGGUUGAGUAUGAAGUUGAACCUUGCAGCACAGACCAUAAGGAUGGUAAUGGCUGUCAUCAUGUGAAGAGGACAAGCCUCCCAAUGCAAACUGGUGGUUAUGUAAUCUAUGGUGUUGCUCAUCAGCACUCUGGGGCGGUUGGAUCAACUCUUUAUGGACAGGUUAUGCUCAUUCAAUAGUUACAACCAUUGAACCUUAGUUUUACAACUCUUUUCUCUUCAGUGUUUCUGUGUUUAGUUUCCAAUUGGGGAUCACAAAUGAUUCUUUGCUUCCGCAUUUACAAUUUUUUGUGUUUUUAAAUAUUUGAUUCCUCAGUUGAUUUUAGCUCCAAAGUCAGUUAGGAUAAAGUUACAAAUCCUAGCUUCUGCGGUGGGACGUAAUCACUUGGGGGAUUUCACCACAUUAUCCAAAGGAAAUCAGUUUCUCAUAAAUUUUUCUAAACAUAAAUAACUUUAUUUUCAACUAGUUUUUACUUUAACUAGUGAGGAUGGAAGCUGUGAUGUUGAUUUCUUAAUCCUUAGCUUUUAUUAAGACUAUUACUUUUUUUACUUUCUUUUGGAUACAAAAGGUGAUAAUGAGACCUGAACCUAUUUACACUCUCAAAUCCCUCACUAAUGACCCAAACCUUGUGACUUAAAUCUUCUUUUACUUUUUAUUAAGAAGUAAAAUACUGUAGUUUAGCUUGUGUUCUGAAAUUUGUUCAUGACCUUUUGCAGGAUGGGAGGGUUAUAUGUUCUUCUGUACCAAGCUAUGGAAAUGGAAACGAAGCAGGAAAUGAGGCAGGCUACAUUGUAGGAAUGUCCACUUGUUAUCCUCAUCCAGGUUCGGUCAAGAUACUUGACGGUGAAACUGUAACUAUUGAGUCUAAUUACAGCAGCAGCCAGAGGCACACUGGAGUUAUGGGGUUCUUCUACCUGUUGGUGGCAGAACAACUACCACACCAACACAUCAUACAUUCCACUCGUUCUUCAUUUUUUAUGGAUGUAAAAGGUAUAAUUUAUUGAUAGGUGUAGUGAGUGUCAUGCUAAUAUAAUAAGCAUAGGGGCAUCUAUGAUUUAUAUAAGCAAAGUGUCAUUGAUGAUAUCUUAGUGUAGAAUCAAAAGAAAUAAUGACAGGCCAGAGCAGUCAAUGGGCAUAUCAUAUUUUUCUCUGAAGGUAUUUACAGAAGCUUAUCCUCAAAUUUGAUUCUAGUUUUAGAAUCUUUUGUGGAAGAGUUUUGAAACAUGGUAGUAGUCAUAUAUAGUUUGUAAUGUUUUCUUAAACCAGUCUUGUUCAUAUUGGCAUAUGGCUAUGUGAUGUAUCUGUGGUACUGUAUAGCUAUACAUGUAAAAGGGUCUUUUGUUUUGUUGUUACACACAAGAGGCCAAGUUUUAUUUUACAUUAUUCUCAAGGAAUAAAUGUUGAGUAGCCCUCCCUAGUAUUACUGUUGUUGGUUCAAGCAUCUUCUCUUUGACCACAACAUAUAUAAUCCACUUUAUUUCUCAUUUCUUUCUUUCUACUCAUAUUUUUUCUUUACUUUCUCUGUUAUCUUUCUCUCAUCAACCAAACAAGGUAUUAACUUUUUCACCAUCCUUUACAUUUUUAUACCAUCCUCAUUUUUUCCUUUUGUAUUCCGCAAUUAUGUUUGCGGUGUGUAAUCAAUUCCCCAAACAUAUGUGAGUAAAUUGUUAAGAAUUCAAGUGUGAGUUGGAGUCCCAAUUGAUUUAGUAUAAGUGUGAUGAAGACUUUAUAAAAGAAGAGACUUACUCAAUGCCUUAAGGUUAUGAUUAAAGUUGUGGUGCUCAAAUCUCUCGGUGGUCUUCAUUGUUGGCUCAUUGAUGCAUGAUCUUAUUCUUUGUGCUACUCGGUUUCCCCAACAAGUGGUACCAAAGCCGAUAAACUCACUUGAAAGAGAGAGAUUGUUGAGAAUUCAAAUAUAAGUUUGAUUCCCACAUUAGUUAAAAAUGUGUGAGUCGAAUACUUUAUAAGAUAUAUGACCUAUAAACUCAACGCUUUAAGGUUUUGGGUAAAAAUGCGAUAUUAAAAUCUUUUGGCACUAGUUGGAAUCCACAUUAAUUAAAAAUGAGUGAAGCAAAAUCUUUAUAAGAAAUGUAAUCAUAAACCCAAUGUUUUAAAGUUUUGAAUAAAGCUGUAAUAUUUAAAUUUUUAAUAAUUACUACUGAUCUAUUAAUGUAUGGUCUCCCCUGCUAAUGAAAGUCAACCUUUGCCCUUUAAAACAACUAUUGCUUGUCUUUCUAAAUCAUACUCCCUCUGUUCCUGAUCUUUUGUUGUUUAAGGUUAUGCACAUUGUUUAAGAGUGCAAUUAUUGAAAUAUUUGUUGACAUAAACACCCUUAUUUAAUGUUGAGUUAGAGUUAAGAGAGAGAAUGAUAGUUAUUGGUUAAGAAACUUGUUAUGAUUUUGAUUGGUGAAAAUAAAAGGUGGUAGGUGAGAAAUGUAAUAUUAAAUGAGGGUAAACAUGGAAUAAGUUGAGAAAAAAUGCAUUGGAUUUGUAAAACAACAAAAGUUUUGAAAUUUUGACCAAAACUUAAAACAACAAAAGAUCAGGAACGGAGGGAGUAAAUCAUUAUGAAGAGUGUCACAUCUCAUAGUAGAGGAGAAGGCGGGCGCAAAGACCCGCAUCGAGCUUCCCCUGGGGCUUAGAGAGUUAUCUCUAGGUAUUAUCUACCUACCCACCUGUGUCUCCAUCUCCGGCCAAGGCCAACCGACCCCUUCAUCUUUCUUUCCAUCCCCGUGGCCCCGACCAGCAACUGCAAAUGAACACUUGCCUGCAUAACAUUUCUCUGUUAUGUAGAAUGGAUUCCGAGUUGAAACUUUGCUUGCCCACGAAUAGUACUGUCUCAUCAGCAACUUAGAUGACAAUACUUUAAUUUGCUCCUAUCUCCACCAACAUAAAUUGGGGGUAAGAAAAAUGUGGGUGUAGUACUAACAUCAAUUCCCACCAAACAAAGCAUCACUGUAUUUCUUCAUCACUUAUCUUGCUAUUACGUCAUGGCUUACAACACAUAAAAAGCGCUUAUAGUAUGAUUGAAUACCAUCUCUUAUGGUUUAACAUCAAAGAUUAACAACACUUUACGCCUUCUAAUUAUUCUUAUUUUAAAUCAGAAAUAUAAAUCAUAUCUUUAGGAGUUGAUUAUUGGACAUAAACCUCCCAAAUCAAUAGAAGAACCGGCUCUUACCAUUUAAUUAUCAUUUGGGAUGUAUUUUUUUUUACAUAGAAAAUCUAUUUGUUAGUAUAAUCUAUAGUAUUUAUUUAUUUAGUUACAAGACAUUUAAUUUAUAAAAUCGCUUUAAAAAAUUUAUAAAAUCCAAAUCUGUCGUGAAUUCAUAUGAUGCCAUUUAUUUGGCGUAUACGACGAGGUCUAUCCUUCCCAUCGAUCAUAUGCCACUUGUCCGCAUUUCCAUGUCGGUAGACAUCAACAUCUCAGUUCCAACAAAAACAUGGAAGGAACAAGAAAGAAGAUAAAUAGUUAGAGCAUCUACAUCUAUCAUAGUUACUAAAAUAUCUACACAUCAUUUUUUCAAUUUUCCAUAAUGCCACAUCAUCUACCAUAUUUUACUAACUUUUUACUCCAACCCAACAACUCUUAAAAGUUUCUAUAGUGGAUCUCACCAUCAACAUCACAUUUGUAUAUUAUUAUUUAUCUCAAUUUUAAUUAAUUGUAAGUGUUUGUAAUAAAUACAAGCUCAUCUUUCAAGUCUAGUGUGAAGUAUCUAUUCCCACAUACUCAUCUUUGUCAUGUUGGAAUUGAAUAUGUACUACAAUGGUAAUAGAUACUCAUAUGAGUAUGUAUUUAACAUUAGAUACUAACAUUGGAGAUGCUCUCAUGAAAUUUGAUAUUUUAUCAUUUAUGUGGAUAUGUUGAUACUCAUGCUAGUUAUUAAUGUUAGUAGUAAAUUAAUCAUUCUCAGGGUUCGAACUUGGAUCAUUCACCUUUUAUUCCACCUAAUCCACAUGUCUCUAGCUCUUACCAUUUGAGCUAUCUUUCAGGGACUUACUGUGUUGACUAUUCAUGUAGCAUGAGAAGCAGAUAAAUCCGGAAAAAAUAAGAGAAUUUAUUGGGAACCCUACAAAAGCCCAUCGUUAUUUUUUAUCUCUGUUCCUAUUCGUUUUCCCGUGAGGAAUUGUCAACCCAUUUGACUCUUUCAGUCAUUCCAAACUAAAGGAUUAGUAAAUGAGAAAAAGUUUGAUGCAUCGACGGUAUAAAUUUUUUUUACACCGUCAACCAAUCAGAUUUUAAGUAUGUGUCACAUCAAUUAAUGAAAUUAAAUAAAAUGAGAUAUUUUCUCACAUUAUUGAAAUCUGAUUAGUUGACGGUGUAAAAAAACUUUACACCAUCGGUGCAUAGAAAUCAAACUCUUAGUAAAUCAAAUAAUAAAUGGGUUGAAUAAUUAAUUAUAACAUGCCAAUAUAGGAGGAAAAUAACUUUUGUUUUAAAUUUUAAUAGAAACGAAAAUAUAUUUUAUGAUGUGGCAGAAUUUAAUUGAACGACGGUGUAAAAUUUGUUUACACUGGUAGAUUAUUAAUUACCAUCAUUUAUCCUUUAUAAAAGACUAGAACCAUUUAUAAAACAUGCGAUUAAAGUACUUCAUCAUCUAGAUGUCCCCAAGCGGGUUGUUUAUUGGAUUUGGUAAGUGCAUCUUUCCAUUGGUUUUUCUCAUUGUUAAUUUGAGAAAGUAAUAGUAAAGAUGCUCUAUACUAUAAUCAACGUUAGUUGAUGCUUUAUUUUAUAGUAUUACAAAGAUUUAUAGUUUUUUAUAAAUAAUAUACUUAAUUUAGUUUAAGUUAUUCAUGUUUAAUAUGAUCGUAUAUGUUUGGAGUAUCGUCUCAAAUGUGAUGUGAUAAAAAAAAAAUGGUUAAACUUGCUUUAUGAAAUUUAUCUUUGAUAAAAGUUAUUUUAUAUUGUAAAAAAUUUUAAGAUAAGGAAAUAGUGAACCAGUCCAAGGUAGGACAAGAUAGCCACUAAAAAACACAUUUACUCACCUAAAGGGACAAAUAUGGCACGUACGAGACACAUGUUCCUAUAAAAACAAAGUUAUUCUAAUACAUGAACAGAACACAUGAAAGAAAAUUGAUAAUAGAAUAAUACAAAGAAAUAAUUUCAUCUUUCUUUCCCUACUCCCUAGUGUGAAAAGCCAGAAUGCAUCGUUUUCCUUGAGUAAAGGUGUCACCGUCCUUUGGUCUAUAAAUUAAUGCAUUCACUUCUUUGUGACUGUCUGUCUCUCUAUAUCUCCAACCGUGUCAUUGUUCUCGCUUCGAGGUACACCAUUGAAGCUAUCUCCUUUUUUUUCAUCAUCAUCAUCAUCAUUCACAAUUUUGAAUAACCCACAUAGCAUCCUUUGUGCAUGCUUCUACCUCUCAUGCUGGAUUGAGUAUUGGACUAUAUGUUGUUUCUGAAUCAGUUUUUAUUUAUAGUCUUUGUCUGUUAAAGAUGAGAUGAGAUGACCCAAAUCUUCAUUUGAUGUUAAGACUUAAGUUUUUACUUUCCUCUUAUGUUCAUGUCCGUCCUUGCACAAUACUCUAUCCUUUUGCAUCACUUUUCCCCCUUUUUCCCAUGCUAAUUAUGAAUAUAAAUAUGAUUAACAACAGAUGCUGAUUAUAGCUUUUUUUCUUUAUUUUUUUUGUUGGCCUUGAGUUUAGUAUAAGAUAAUCAUCUUCAAGGUUAAAUUUUCAUACUUUUUCAUCCAGGAUUUUCUAGUUUAUUUGCCUAAAUUCAUACACAAACAUAUAUGCUAUUGCCCUUGUUAACAUUGUUCUGUAAUCCUUGUUUGGCUAAUCACUUUGUUGUCUUUAUAGAGAUUCUAGAUUUCCAUUUUUGGUCAUUUCUGAUUGCAGAAUUUUCUCUUGUACUGUGUAGUUAUAUAGUGAAUUUUAGGAAGAUAGUGCCUUUUUUACAAUCCAAUAGCUCCUUUUUAUCAGCUUCUCUUUUAUCACAAUCAAUUUCAUAAACCAGAAGCUAUCCGCAGAAGUUUCUCUCCAUAAUUAAUUUUGCCUGAAUCAAUGGUAGAAUAAUUUUCAAACAUGCACGACAUAUGUUCCAUGUAUUUUUUCAAUCAAUAGUUAGUUGAUUACUGAUAAAGAAUUUGCUUACAGAUCAACAUGGGCUCGGUAUCUAGAAAUUUUGUACUUUCUUUGGCAUUACUUCUGGCAACAUGUUCAGGAAUUUUGGGGAGAACUGAGAACAAUAUAAAAACAGCUGUUUUUCUGUCCCCAAAAUUUGAACUUGGAGCAGGAUCAGUUAUCAAUAGAUAUUACUAUGGUAUUGAUUUUCCAAGAGGUCAUAUAGCAAUGAAGAGUUUCAAUGCUGAAGUGAUUGAUGAAGCUGGGAACCCUGUGCCUCUCCAUGAAACUUACCUUCACCAUUGGGUUGUUGCAAGAUACCAUCAAAGUAAAAAACAUGUGACAACACACACAGACAAAAGCUAUGAUAAUGGACAUCGAAUGCUUCACGAGUCUGAUGAUUUUGUUAUGGUGAGGAACAAUGGCAUAUGCCAGAGGAAUGU
rnacentral:lncRNA from 1 species